rnacentral:rRNA from 1 species
UACGAGGGGCCCAAGCGUUGUUCGGAAUCAUUGGGCGUAAAGCGGACGUAGGCGGCUCUUUAAGUCGGAAGUGAAAUCCCCAAGCUCAACAUGGGAAGUGCUUUUGAUACUGUAGAGCUUGAAUGUGGGAGAGGUUCGUAGAAUUCCAGGUGGAGAGGUGAACUACGUAGAUAUCUGGAAGAAAACCGGUGGCGAAGGCGGCGAACUGGCCCGUCAAUGACGCUGAGUUGCGAAAGCGCGGGGACCAAACAGG